rnacentral:rRNA from 1 species
GAUCCUGGCUCAGGACGAACGCUGGCGGCGUGCCUAACACAUGCAAGUCGAACGGAACUGUUUUGAAAGAUUUCUUCGGAAUGAAUUUGAUUUAGUUUAGUGGCGGACGGGUGAGUAACGCGUGAGUAACCUGCCUUCAAGAGGGGGGAUAACAUUCUGAAAAGAAUGCUAAUACCGCAUGACAUAUCGGAACCACAUGGUUCUGAUAUCAAAGAUUUUAUCGCUUGAAGAUGGACUCGCGUCCG